UACGUAGGGUGCGAGCGUUGUCCGGAAUUAUUGGGCGUAAAGGGCUCGUAGGCGGUUUGUCGCGUCGGGAGUGAAAUCCACUGGCUUAACUGGUGGCUUGCUUUCGAUACGGGCAGACUGGAGGUAUGCAGGGGAGAAUGGAAUUCCCGGUGUAGCGGUGAAAUGCGCAGAUAUCGGGAGGAACACCGGUGGCGAAGGCGGUUCUCUGGGCCUUACCUGACGCUGAGGAGCGAAAGCGUGGGGAGCGAACAGG
rnacentral:rRNA from 1 species